AGAGAGGUCAUUAAGGGCGAAUGAUGGAUGCCUUGACAUCAAAGGGCGACGAAGGACGCAGCGUAGCGGCGAUACGCCUCGGGGAGGUGUGUAGCAACCGACGAUCCGGGGAUUUCCGAAUGGGGAAACCUAGUUGAGUAAACCUCAACUGUCUGCAGCAAUGCAGCACGCGCACCCGCUGAAGUAAAACAUUUCAGUAAGCGGAGGAAAAAAGAACAACAGUUAUUCCCUUAGUAGCGGCGAGCGAAACGGGAUUAGUCCAAACUGCUUGUGCUUCGCACAAGAGAUUUAAGAAUCUUGAUUCAAGAUUCAAGAACGGAAAAUUCAUGAAUCCUGAAUCGUAAAUCUUGAUUCUCUCGCGCGGAGCGCGAGCGGGGUUAUAAGGUUGGAACGCUCUUGAGUAUAGCUAAUAGCGACUAGUGGUUGGGGCCCGGGGUCAAACCUAGGCACUAUGCCCUAGUGGCUAGUGGCUAUCUCGAGGUGGAGAAGUUAAAAAGCCAUCAGUUAGUCGAAGCGCCUGGAACGGCGCGCCAAAGACGGUGAAAGCCCGGUAGGCGAAAACCGAUGACCUUCUUAGUUCCAUCGCUUGAGUACUUCGGGGUAAAUCAGCUCCGGAGGAAAUCGGGAGUACUAUCUCUUAAGACUAAAUACCUUUGGUGAUCGAUAGUGAACUAGUACCGUGAGGGAAAGGUGAAAAGCAGGCCGGUGAGGCCGUUGAAAUAGAACCUGAAACCAUUCGCCUACAAGGAACGGAAGCACGGCUUGUGCUUCGCACAAGAGAUUUAAGAAUCUUGAUUCAAGAUUCAAGAAUGAAAAAUUCAUGAAUCCUGAAUCGUAAAUCUUGAUUCUCUCGCGCGGAGCGCGAGUGUGUGACCGUGUGCCUAUUGAAGAAUGAACCAACGACUUACUGCACGUUGCGCGUCUAAGCCCGCUCUGCGGGCGAAGGCAUAGGGAAACCGAGUCUGAAUAAGGCGUAGCGAUUUAUCGCACGCAGCGUGCAAUAGACCCGAAGCCAGAUGAGCUUGCCUUGGCCAGGGUGAACCCCGACGAAAGUCGGGGGGAGGCCCGAACUGGUGGGUUGUUCAAAACCUUCGGAUGAGCCGAGGUAAGGAGUGAAAAGCUAAUCGAAUCUGGUAAUAGCUGGUUCUCUCCGAAAUAGUUUUUCGACUAGCGCCGUACGUAACACGCGGGGGUAGAGCACUGGAUGUUCGGUAAAGGCCGAAAGGCCGACCGAUCAAUCAAACUCCGAAUACCGUGUGCGCAAGUACGGUAGUCAGAACAUGGGGGCAAAGCUCCAUGCUCGCAAGGGGAACAGCCCAGACCGCAAGCUAAGGCCCCUAAGUGCGCGCUAAGUGUUAAAGGCAGUCUUUUGCCAUAGACAGAUAGGAGGUUGGCUUAGAGGUAGCCAUCCUUUAAAGAGUGUGUAACAACUCACUAUUCGAUGGCAGGGGGCGCCGAAAAUGUACCGGGGCUAAGCGCGCCGCCGAAGCUGCGGAUUUGCUGACUUCAUUGAGGGGAAUAAACAGCACAUUGAUUUUGCGGACGGUUCGGGAGCCAAGCCCGAAGGCGAGCCCGGCCUUGCGGCGGGUGCCGAUUGGCCCGGUUAUGCCGCGGGUUUUGCCAUGUCGCGGCGACAUCGCCUCAUCGAGAUCACGCACUCGGUGCCGUCCGCAGUUUGGAUUUUGCGUCGGGGCGCAGGGAUAGCCCAAAGGAUGGUUUCCGCCAGAGGCGGAUCCCCCUCCGGAGGACAAAUCCAACCGCCCCGACCAAAACUUUGGUGGAGGUUAUAGCUUAAGGGUAAAGCGCCUCGAAUACAUCGAGGAGACAGGCGGUUCGAGUCCGCCGCCUCCGCCAUAAUUCUGGAGGAGACAGUGUCAGUGCACAUCCGGUUGUGGCCCGGAAAGUCCCGUACAAGUUUGUCCGCCGCUGCAGACAAACAACCGGGUAUCCUCCCCAAUUUAAGGGCGAGCGUUCGAUUAAUCGGACUCUCGCCCCCUCAAUGAAGUCAGCAAGUGGUAGGAGAGCAUUCCGUUCGCGACGAAGUCCCAGCCGUGAGGCGGGAUGGAGUGUACGGAAGAGAAAAUGUUGGUAUGAGUAACCCGCUAUCCCAAUGAGAAAUUGGAACCCCGAAAAUCCAAGGUUUCCGUGGCACUGGCAAUCAACCACGGGUUAGGCGGACCUAAGGCAAUGGCGAAAGCCGCAGCUGAUGGACAGCCGGUUAAUAUUCCGGCCCCUUGGCUCAUUUUCGACGCGAUGACGGAGUACAAAAGUUUGCGUGGAUUACUGGUUUUCCAUCCAUAGCGGUGAGCCGAGGCGAAAGCCCCGGAACGCCGCCUUGGGAAGGUCCGGUUUUACCGGACUAACGCAGAUGAAUGGACUUCCGAGAAAAGUCGCGAAGAGUUAAAUGAGACAAGUCCGUACCGUAAACCGACACAGGUGGGUGAGGCGAGAAGCCUAAGGGGUACGAGCGACCUGCCGCUAAGGAACUCGGCAAAAAAGCGGCCGUAAGUUAGCGAUAAG
rnacentral:tRNA from 1 species